rnacentral:rRNA from 1 species
AGAGUUUGAUCAUGGCUCAGAUUGAACGCUGGCGGCAUGCCUUACACAUGCAAGUCGAACGGCAGCACGGGAGCAAUCCUGGUGGCGAGUGGCGAACGGGUGAGUAAUACAUCGGAACGUGCCCAAUCGUGGGGGAUAACGCAGCGAAAGCUGUGCUAAUACCGCAUGAGAUCUACGGAUGAAAGCAGGGGACCGCAAGGCCUUGCGCGAAUGGAGCGGCCGAUGGCAGAUUAGGUAGUUGGUGAGGUAAAGGCUCACCAAGCCUGCGAUCUGUAGCUGGUCUGAGAGGACGACCAGCCACACUGGGACUGAGACACGGCCCAGACUCCUACGGGAGGCAGCAGUGGGGAAUUUUGGACAAUGGGCGCAAGCCUGAUCCAGCCAUGCCGCGUGCAGGAUGAAGGCCUUCGGGUUGUAAACUGCUUUUGUACGGAACGAAAAGGCUUUCUCUAAUAAAGGGGGCUCAUGACGGUACCGUAAGAAUAAGCACCGGCUAACUACGUGCCAGCAGCCGCGGUAAUACGUAGGGUGCAAGCGUUAAUCGGAAUUACUGGGCGUAAAGCGUGCGCAGGCGGUGAUGUAAGACAGUUGUGAAAUCCCCGGGCUCAACCUGGGAACUGCAUCUGUGGCUGCAUCGCUGGAGUGCGGCAGAGGGGGAUGGAAUUCCGCGUGUAGCAGUGAAAUGCGUAGAUAUGCGGAG